UCCGAGUGAUGAUUUAACGUGUGCAUGUAUGUGCGAGUGUUUUUGUGUGGGUAGACUCCGUGGACGCGUGGAAAGAGCGAGUCAAGUUACUGCACGUCACAGGCUCCCAGCAAUAAGAGCGAGCACAGGCUGACGAGCAAUAAGGAGGCGCUUUACACCACUGAGCCGGACUCGUCUUUUUGAGAGGCAGGAAAAAAGACGUGUGCCUCACCGCGGUGCAAAACACUGACAGCAAAAUGUAACAAACAGUGCGGAACGAUGGGAGGUAGUAGCCGAAGAGAGAGGACAGAGAACGGGCCACUGCAGGAAUGUCUGCUCGCCUGUCAUCGACUUCACAUUAAACCGGUGAAUGCAGUCACAGCACCUGACCACUAGACGGCAGCAGAGCGCAUGGGUCUGAGUAUUUAUUGCCACAUCUUGAAUGUGCCCUCUUCACCUUUAACCUUAUAAAUCCCCAAUAUCAAAAUCAAUACCGGAGUUGACUUGACCUCCCUCUCUCCAUCAUUUUUAUGUUGUCAGAUUGAAUGAGAGAAUGUGCUCCAGAAAAUGUAUGGAUAAAAGGAAUGUUUAUUUAUAAUCAGAUGCAAAAGUAUAAUUUUAAAAAAAGUACAGCUUUAACUAAGUGGUUAAGAAGCAAAUUGACUACAUUUCUUUUUUGAUAAACUUCCAAGUUAUUUACUUUAAAUGCUCAUUCCAACACAAAUAUAUAUCUUUAUUGACUACAAGUAGUGCCAUAUUAUGUCUCCAACACUGAUUUUAACCACCGAUCUGCUUAUUGUUCUGGCCGAGUGCGCAGAUGUAACACAUCUUAAAACUAACAAAGAAUAAAUUAAUCUAUCUUUUUUGGGGGCAUUUCUGUAUUUACAAUGGCUAUCUUGUUUACAGCCUCUCCAGGAUUAAAGUCAGUGCUGGUAGUCAGGAUGUGACUCGUGAUGUCAUUCCCUGGAAUGUGGAUUUUUUUUAUACAAUAAUCCGGACAAUUGUUACACAUUGAAGAUGUUUGUAGUAUUGCUAUUUUUAGAUCUUUAGAGACACAGGAUGUGGUGGAAUUUGUGUGUAGGAGUCAGUUUUGUUUUUGAAAAUCAAUUUCAAGAUGAUAGAUGAUUGGGUUAGGAGUGAUUUCAUGGUUAAACAAUAACAA